GACGAACGCUGGCGGCGUGCCUAAUACAUGCAAGUCGAGCGAACCCGGGGUGCUUGCACCCUGAGGGUUAGCGGCGGACGGGUGAGUAACACGUGGGGAACCUGCCUUGCUGUCUGGGAUAACACCGGGAAACCGGUGCUAAUACCGGAUGUCCCCUUUCCGGCACCUGCCGGAGAGGGAAAAGGCGGCUUUGAGCCGCCGCAGCAAGAGGGGCCCGCGGCGCAUUAGUUAGUUGGCAGGGUAACGGCCUCCCAAGGCGACGAUGCGUAGCCGACCUGAGAGGGUGAUCGGCCACACUGGGACUGAGACACGGCCCAGACUCCUACGGGAGGCAGCAGUAGGGAAUCAUCCGCAAUGGACGAAAGUCUGACGGUGCAACGCCGCGUGAGUGAUGAAGGUUUUCGGAUCGUAAAGCUCUGUUGUGAGGGAAGAAUAGGAUGGGGAGGAAAUGCCCGAUCUGUGACGGUACCUCACCAGAAAGCCCCGGCUAACUACGUGCCAGCCGCCGCCGUAA
rnacentral:rRNA from 1 species